rnacentral:rRNA from 1 species
AGAGUUUGAUCCUGGCUCAGAACGAACGCUGGCGGCGUGGAUAAGACAUGCAAGUCGGACGAGAUUUUUCGUUGUAGCAAUACGAUGGAAAAUUUAGUGGCGAACGGGUGCUUAACACGUGGGCAACCUGCCAGGAAGUGGGGGACAGCUCGCCGAAAGGCGGAUUAAUACCGCAUGUGAUUAGAGAGGACAUCCUUUCGAAAUUAAAGUCGGGGCAACCUGACGCUUCUUGUGGGGCCCGCGGCCUAUCAGCUAGUUGGUGAGGUAAAGGCUCACCAAGGCUUUGACGGGUAGCUGGUCUGAGAGGACGACCAGCCACACUGGGACUGAGACACGGCCCAGACACCUACGGGUGGCAGCAGUCGAGAAUUUUUGACAAUGGGGGAAACCCUGAUCGAGCGACGCCGCGUGGAGGAUGAAGGUCUUCGGAUUGUAAACUCCUGUCAUUGGGGAACAAUGCACAGAUAUUAACUGUAUUUGUGUUGAUAGUACCCGAAGAGGAAGAGACGGCUAACUCUGUGCCAGCAGCCGCGGUAAUACAGAGGUCUCAAGCGUUGUUCGGAUUCAUUGGGCGUAAAGGGUGCGUAGGCGGCGCGGUAAGUCGGGUGUGAAAUCUCGGAGCUUAACUCCGAAACUGCAUUCGAUACUGCCGUGCUUGAGGACUGGAGAGGAGACUGGAAUUUACGGUGUAGCGGUGAAAUGCGUAGAUAUCGUAAGGAAGACCAGUGGCGAAGGCGGGUCUCUGGACAGUUCCUGACGCUGAGGCACGAAGGUCAGGGGAGCAAACGGGAUUAGAUACCCUAGUAGUCC